GGAGAGAUGGGUUGCAACUUAAGGAGAGGAGGAGAAGAAGAAGAAGAAAAUAAAAAUUGAUUUCUCUUGAAAUUAACACUUGAAAUCAAAAGGUUUUUGCUAGAAAUCAUCAAAGGUAAGAGGAUCAUAGGAGGCAGAGAAGGAGGCUCUUCCCGGCGUUGAAACUACAGUUCUGUGUACUUAUUUUUCCAGAUUUUGGCUCUAAGGGGCAUUAGCAGUCAGAACUUCUUCUGUUCAGACUGGCAGAAAUGGAACUAAGGUCGGAAUUAGUUGUGUCUGCAUAUAUCACCUCCUCAGUUUUAUAUACAUGUAUUUAAGGAGUUUGUUCUCCGUA